UUUAUUCUUUAGCUAAAUUAAUAAUUAAUAAUAAUAAUAAGUGAUGUUAACCAAUGUACACAUUUCCAAUUCAAUGUACCGUAACUUUCUUUUCCUCAUUGAAGAGGAGAACAGGGACAACCGCGACGCAUAAGCAAAGGAUCAUCACGAGUUAGGCGAGAAAGGGUUUGCGGGAUGUUUCUGACUCCGUAGCACUAUCUUAAAACAAGCAAGCAAAUUAUUUCUAAUAUUUCCAAACGACAUAUAAAGUAGAUUUAUGCAGAAACUCCGCAUUUUCAAAGCAGGUUUUUACGUCCUGCAAAAAAUUUUAUGAGUGGCGGAUGUUGCGCUUAGCCAUGACUUUGGAGUUGUUAACGUCAGGAGGUUACCGGUCUUCAGCAACCAUACCGUAAGUGUUGCACACAGCAACAAUGUUUAAUUGCUCGGUGACAGUGGAUACCCCCUACAUCCUUUCCGAAGUGCAACGGAUUUCCUAAAACACAUUGUGGAAAGAUGUAUUGGUUUGCAUAAAGAUUAUUAUUACGGAAGAGCGGAAGAGCUGGUAGAACGCAAAAAAUCUGGAAAGAGUCCCAAACGUUUGUGCAGCUCUGUACCUCAUACACGUCCGCUACGUAGUGGAAGAAGAUUGCUUGAAUACUCCGCCACUCCAAUGAUCUAUGAAGAUGAUGAUGUUGAUAUUUGUGUGGAAGCAUCUUAAUUGAGACAGUUGGGGGAGGAAGUUAGAGAAUUACAGGAAAGAAAUUUACAGCCAUCUUCAAGAGACAAAUCAUUUUUAAAGUUGUAACACGCACAAAAAUUACCCAAAAAAAUAAAUAUAUACUGACCAAUUUUUGAUUGAAAAAACUUUUUAUAUAGUGGCAAUUAAAUAUCAAUUUCUUAUAAAUCCAGUAUAUCGAUUACCUAUGGGCUACCAUACAUAAUGCAGUAGAUAGACACGCGAUUGUCAAGUCUGUGAUAGCGGGUUCGAAUAUCAGUGCGGUAGACCAUAUCUUAUAAGAAACUGUAUAACACAGUUACAUUGCCUUAUGCUCGCCUUUCCAGACGUAUGUCCGCCGUUCUUUAAUGUUUAUAAUAUUGUAUAAUGUUUAUUAUUAU